rnacentral:rRNA from 1 species
AUUGAACGCUGGCGGCAGGCCUAACACAUGCAAGUCGAGCGGAUGAAGGGAGCUUGCUCCUGGAUUCAGCGGCGGACGGGUGAGUAAUGCCUAGGAAUCUGCCUGGUAGUGGGGGAUAACGUCCGGAAACGGGCGCUAAUACCGCAUACGUCCUGAGGGAGAAAGUGGGGGAUCUUCGGACCUCACGCUAUCAGAUGAGCCUAGGUCGGAUUAGCUAGUUGGUGGGGUAAAGGCCUACCAAGGCGACGAUCCGUAACUGGUCUGAGAGGAUGAUCAGUCACACUGGAACUGAGACACGGUCCAGAUGCCUACGGGAGGCAGCAGUGGGGAAUAUGGGACGAUGGGCUAAAGCAUGAUCCAGCCAUGCCGCGUGUGGGAAGAAGGUCUUCGGAUUGUAAAGCACGUUAAGUUGGGAGGAAGGGCAGUAAGUUAAUACCUUGCUGUUUUGACGUUACCCACAGAAUAAGCACCGGCUAACUUCGUG